rnacentral:tRNA from 1 species
GGGGUUGUGGCUCAGUGGUAGAGUAUGUGCUUAGCAAGUACAAGGCAUUGGGUUUGAUCCUCAGCACCA